rnacentral:rRNA from 1 species
UAAAGGGCCGCGGUAUUUUGACCGUGCAAAGGUAGCAUAAUCAUUAGUCUUCUAAUUAAAGGCUGGAAUGAAUGGUUGGACGAGGUAUUAGCUGUCUCACUAAAAUUAUUUAGAAUUUAGCUUUUUGGUCAAAAGGCUAAAAUGAUGUUGGAGGACGAGAAGACCCUAUAGAUCUUUACGUUUUAUUAAUUUAAUUUGUUUAGUAAAGGUUUAAUUUUAUUAGGAAAACGUUUCGUUGGGGUGACGAGAAGACAAAUGUAACUCUUUUUAUAAUUUAACACUGAUGAGUGAUUAAUUGAUCCAUUUAUUAUGAUUAUAAGACUAAGUUACCUUAGGGAUAACAGCGUAAUCUUUUUUGAGAGUUCUAAUCGACAAGAAGGGUUGCGACCUCGAUGUUGGACUAAGGGUUAUUUUUGGGUGCAGCUGCUCAAAGUUUAGGUCUGUUCGACCUUUGAAUCCUUACAU